CCGAACACGAAGGUUAAGCUUCAAUGCGCCGAUGGUACUGCAGGGGUAACCUUGUGGAAGAGUAGGUUGUCGCCAGGU
rnacentral:rRNA from 1 species